AGACUCUCCAAAACAAAGGACAAUGAGUUUCACUAUACUUCCCCAAUGAUCCCAGGGAACUAAUGUAUGGAAGAAAAAGUCACAAACCACAGAAAUUUGUAAAGAACCCCUCCCCCCCCAUACAUACACACUCAGAUACAUAAUAGAAUUACAGGGUGAGCAAUACACUUAUGAGGAGAUUAGGACAGGAAUUCUGCUGUUAAGAGGAAAGAUAGGUAAGCAAAGGGAGAGUUCCUAACCACUGUCAACUAUAUGGUAGGGAGAAUUCUCUCCCUCAAAACGAAAAUAGUCUAUCCCCUCAGGGCACCUGUUAGACCUAGCCCACCUCAUACUCAAUCAGGGGGCCACUGCCCUAAUAAUGGGGGGGCAAAAAAAAAAAAAGAAAACAAAACAAACUUAAAAGAAGUCAAGGAAAGGGAAACUGGGCAGGCUUCAGAAGCAGGAGAAUCAAGAGAUAAAUUAAAACUGGUCAGCAUUAAUGAAGAGUGGCAGGCAGUGGAGCAGGGACUGGAGGAUGUGGGGCCGAGCCAGAAAAAUGAGGCUGGGCCCCCUACUGGAGCACAGAAUGAGGUAAGAAAACAUUUCAAAUAAAGCAGCACCGUUCCUGCUCACCUUGGGGGCUCCCACCCCUCUACACAGCAUAAACUUCAAUCAGGGAGUCAAGUGGAGAGUAGUUUUGAUACACAGCUCACAGUUCCCAUCCUCCCCUACCCCAUUCUCUAAAACCAGGGGGUUUCUGGGGGGCCUUUCCUUGAAAGGUCCCAUCCUUCAAGCAACAAAAGGACAGCUCUUGUUGUCAGGAAAGUCCAAAGGGGACUGAGGGGAAAGCACUGCCCCAUGUGAGAGGCAGGUGGUGACCGUCUAGAUAUUCACCACAACAAAACCCUGUGACUGCCCAACCCAAGGAACAGGGGUGUUCGAUAGGAUACUGCACAGUCAGAUGAGAGAUGACCCAGUAUUGCUCCUUGGCUCCCAGCACAUUACUGACUACAGUUGGAAAAGGUCCCCUCUGGGCUCAACUUUGAAAGCUCAGCCUCCUGGCUAGCCAUGAUGCUCUUCCGUAGUUCACUUCUGCCCUGAAAAGUGGGAGGCAGGUAGUGACCUGGCAUAAUAACCAAGUCAGACCCAUAGACUGGCAAGGUAACUAGUGACUCAAGAGUAGGAAAAUGCCCCACUGAACUGCUGUCCACAGCGUAAUACAUCCAGUUAAGAAUCCUGCAGUUUGAAAGAUCGUGCAUAGUUGCAGAUGGCCCUGCUACCUCCCCAAGGGGUCAUUACUCAAUCCUCAGCCUGCUUGGAUAACCAAGUUGUCCAUCUGCUAAGCCUAUGCCACCACAUGCGGUGCAAGAAAGCAGGCCCUGUUCAGCAAGAUGCUAGCCCAAGUCCCCAAGUCCACUGACGUCAUUUUUAAAUGCUGGACCUUUGGGAAACUGGUGACUUUAAGCUUUUCUUCUCCUUGCAGUCAAGACCACAGAGCUUCUCCUACAGAUUUGGUCAGGAAUUCUUUUUCAUAGUUUUCCUAGACUGGAAUGCCUAGUAUCCAGCUCUCAUCACUGACUUGCAUCUGUCUUGAAGAAACCCAAGGCUGAGA
ensembl:lncRNA